rnacentral:lncRNA from 1 species
GCUACAUCUUAGUCAAUAAAUGAGAUAAUUAUACGAAGGCACAAUUAUUCUAAUGGACGGAACUUUGUGACAAAUGAGGCCGGGCAAACAAAGGGUAAAGUUGUGUGAAAAGUUCCCUUUCCACAAUGAAUAAUUAGCCAAUAAUAUCUUAUUUAACAUUAAAAUUAUAUACACCAUCUACCUCUUAAUCUUUUAUGUUGCACUACACUAUUACAUUCACAUGUUCAAUGGGAUAUAUAAAAAACAUCCACAUAUAUUAUGCGAAGGCUUGGUUCCAGUGGUUUGCCAAAGAAGCGGAAGGAUUGUCGCUUCUGCAACACCGCAUAUGCGGUUAAGUUGUCGCAUGCGCGAAAAACCUGGCCAGAGUAUUAAAAUCGAGGGUUCCGUGAUUUUUUUCAUUUUGAACAUUCCAACCUCGAGAUUAGGCGAUUUGUGAGAGGGAUUUCCAAGGGAUUCUUGAGGUAAGUCACUUGUGGUUAAAUUUAUUCAAUAAUUAUGUUUCCCCUUUGAAUUUCCCAUCUAGAUUGUAUGGUUUUGAGGUGUAAUUUUGGGAGUUGAAGCUAGGGAUUUGGAGAGUGUAAAUUGGCGAUUUGGGUAUCGAAUUGGUAUUGAAUUUUGAUAAAUUUGGUAUGGUUAGACUCGUGGUUGGAUGGGCUUUUAGAUUUUAUAAAUUUUAUUGGAUUUCGAGACGUGGGCCCGGGAGGCGACUUUUGAGUUGACUUUUAGACUUUUGAUUAAGAACUUAGUAUUUUCUUAUGGAAUUGAUUCUUUUAGCACGUGUUGAUUGUAUCGAACUGUUUGUGGCUAGAUUCGAGGAAUUCAGAGGCCGUUUCGCGAGGCAAGGGCGUGUUGGAAUAAGGAUUUGUACGGUUUGAGGUAAGUAACACUUCUAAACUUGAUUGUGGGGUAAAAAAACCCCAAAUUUCGUAUUAUAUGAUUGGUGUUGAAGUGACGCAUGUGCUAGGUGGCGGGCAUGUAGGAGUGAUACGUAAGAAUUGUGACUUGGUCAAUUCCAUGAAAUUAAAUAGUUGAUUAAUCUUGCAGUUACCCGUAUUUUUACCAUAUGUUAGAGCUAUUGAGCUGUCGGUCAUGUUAGAAAUCAUGUGCUUAGGCUGCAUGUUGGUACUGUUGGCCCCUCAGAGGUCGUGUUACAUGUUGAAUCAUUUUCUCUAAUUGCCAUUUGUAUUCGAUCACAGCUAUUAUUUGCAUAUUAUGUCUCAGUCUCUAUUGUCAUUUACAUGAUACAUCAUAUCAUUAUUGUUUGGGAUGAAUAACAUGAUUCUGGUGAACCCGAGAGACUGGAGAGAUUGGUGACUGUGUGAGACUGAGAGUCUAAUGUGAGUUAUCUUUAUGGGACCGGGCUGCACGCCAUAUCAUGCUUUAUUGAUUCAUGCCAGGAUUUGUCUUAUUAUAGCGAUUUGGCUGGAUUGGCUCCUCCGGAGUCUGCGCAUCCACAGUGGGCGCAAUUUCUAGCAGUUAUUUAUAUUUUAGCUGGAUCUGCCGUGGUUUAUUUGCAUUUGGGCUGGAUCUGCCCUGUUUUACUUGUAUUUGGGCUGGAUCUGCCCUGUUAUGUGUUGAGUUUUAUUGUAAAUCUGAAAGCAUGUCUAAAUUCUUGUAUCUCUACAUGUUAAAUUAUGAAUUUCUGAGUUAUCACUGUCAUAUUUUUUGUAACUUUCCGUACUGUUAAAUGUUUAAAGUGGGCCGUAAUAUGUGAACUCGUCACUACUUUCAGUCCAAAGAUUAGAUUUGUUACUUAUUAAGUUGGUUGUACUCACGCUACACCCUGCACCUAGUGUGCAGAUCCAGGCAAUUCGGGUCACGGCGGUUGCUGAUUUGCUGAGUCCAGACCUUCGGAGAUCAUCAAGGUAGCUGCUUGGCGUCCGCAGACCUUGACUCUCCUCCCUUGUCUUUCUGUUUAAGAUAAAGUCAUGCACAAUUUGAUAAAAUUACUUUCGAGAGAGAAACAAAUACUACGUGACCAUUUUAGUUACUUCCACCUACAAUCGUCUCUCACGCAAAAUGUUUCUAGCCGAUAUACCUACGACACAGUAUAAAACCUUAUCAUAUUUUAUUUAUUAAGUAAUACUCCUCGA